rnacentral:rRNA from 1 species
UACGAAGGGUGCAAGCGUUAUUCGGAAUUACUGGGCGUAAAGCGUGCGUAGGUGGUUUGUUAAGUCUGAUGUGAAAGCCCUGGGCUCAACCUGGGAAUUGCAUUGGAUACUGGCAGGCUAGAGUGCGGUAGAGGAUGGCGGAAUUCCCGGUGUAGCAGUGAAAUGCGUAGAUAUCAGGAGGAACACCGGCGGUGAAGGCGGCUCUCUGGACCGAUACUGACGC